rnacentral:sRNA from 1 species
AUGUUUGAACGGUUUGGAUGGGAGCCACGUGGAUCAACUACUUCUGAGCCGUCCAAUGAACGGAUGAGGCGGUGCAUGAUGUACAUUGUUGCUGACGAGGAUCUUUGUCAGUGAUAUGCGGUGCGUGCAUGUGACUUGGGAAUGUUCUUUUCUUUUUUUUUUCUUUUUUUUGAGAAGAAUCUAUUUUUGGUUUUUUAAAUGGGAUUUGACGUGGUUUUGUUUAUUAACUUUAUUUUACACUUUUCUAAAUAAUCCAAAACAUACAGGUUUAUCUACGGUACAGCUUUAACUAUAUUCAAUUAAAAAAAAUUAUUUCUUUUUUCUACUCACACAACAACUAUUAUCUAGUCUUCUUUCAUUUUUGAAAUACAUUAAAAAAAAAUCAAAUUUAAAAUACAUAAUAUUGAUAUAAAUUUACACUAUUAAGGUAAUAAUUUUACGUAGUUUAAAAUAUGAAUAAAUUUUAAAUUUGAUUAAUUAAAAUGUAAUGCUUUUUCUAGUAUACAACAACCAAUACAAUGUCAUGGCAAGUGCUCUAAAAAGUGGAUGUUCUUAGAUCUUGAAUGUUGUUAUUGACAAUGUUGAGAGUUGGAUUCGGAUUUGUAGUGUAAUCGUAUGGUUGUUAUUUUUAUGGAAAAAGGUGAUUGCGAGUGAGAAGAUGAUUUGCACUUUGCUAAAACAGUGAAAGGAAAAGUAGAAAUGAUGAUGCUGAGAAAGCGGUAGCUGGUGAGAGAGAGAGAGAGAGAGAACAAGUUACAAUGAGACAAAUUGGUUGGCUCCGUCGGCGAACUGCCCUCUCUUCACCACCACUCUUUCCAUAUCAUAAAAAGGCAUUACAGAAAUUGCAGCGUUAGCUGCACCCCUUUUUCAACCUACUUUUCUUUUCUUUUUUUUCUUUUCUUUUUUUUUUUUACCAAAGAAAAGCAUUGAAAUUUCAAUAUUUUUAGCAAAAAUUAGAGAUUUUUAUUUGGUUCAAACUAAUCACAGUACAUCAGCUGCAAAUGUGGAUGUGAAUCUUCCAAUCAUACAGAUACUUGCAUUUUCAUAAUAUACAAAAUCGAAGAAUCCAUUAAAAAAAUUAUUGUUUGUUUUCUUUAAAAACUUCAUUUUAAUAAUAUCGUAUACAAUUGUGAUGAACAUGACACACCCUCACACGUACAAUAACUUUCCGUUUGGUGGAUGACGUUACUUUAUAGAUGUAGGGACUUGAGUUUGUUGAGAGAGAAGUUGUAUAAAUUGUGUAAUUUGUCCAAAUAAUUGUCUUAGGGCAUUUAUACAAGUAUGCACCCCUUGGUAAAAGACAUGUUUGUUGUGAAUAUGUAUAUCAAUUCUAAGAGUUACACCCUUCAACAGCGGUGACUCCAAGAAUUUUUCUCAGGUGUUCCUUAAGAGAUUUUUUCUCAGGUAUUUCUUAAGAAGCAUAAAUUACAUAAUCUAAUAAAAGAGAUUGAUCUUGAGUUUUUUUCCUAUGGUCUAUUUUGCAUUUGGGUGCUAUGUUAUAAUUAUUAUUUUUUUUUCAAAAUUUUGUUCUAAUUUUUUUUUUGGGCUUCUUUUUGCUUGAAAGCCCCAAUAUAUUAUUAAGUAGAACAAAUUAUGAAGCAAAAUUUAAUUUUAUUAGCAUAAAAAACUGAGGGUGUUCCCAAAAUUUUUUAAAAGGGUAGACAAAUAUAAAAUUUUAAAUUAUUAUAUAUAUAUAUAUAAUUCAGGUCAAGGUGGUCCUGUGACCACUCUGGCCUUCAAGUGCCACCGCCCCUGCCCUUCAACUAAUACAUUUCUAUAUAAACAAAUUUCAUGUCUUAUGAAGCAACAUCAUCUACCAAAUGAGAAGUUAUUGCACAUGUGAGGGUAUACCAUGUGGUAGGAAUUGAAAAAGUAGGUAAAAGUAUAAUUAUUGUCACUCUUCACCUCACCCACCUUAAGAUUAUUUUUAAACUUUUGAGACCCCACAAUAUUCUAUAAAGGAAAUAACAUAAACUAAAAAAAAUUGAAAGUCUUAUGCUUUAAUAUUAUAUGUCCAAUAUUUUUUUUUACUUAAAAAACCAUUUAGUUUUGCCAAGUAAUCCAAAAGAAGAAGAAGAAGAAGAACAUAAUAACAAUAACAACAAUAAUAAUAAAAGCAUCAAAACAAUCAUUUAAGUGUAAUCAUACAUAUGACAUCACUCAAAACUCGAAGUCUCAGACUUUUAACUAUGGAUUUCAAAUAUAAAACACUCAAAUUAUAAUGACAAACAAUAUUUUUUAGAUUAUUUAGACAAACAUUAGCUUGUCAUGGUUAGUUUUCAGUUUUAGAAGGGUUAAAUAUAAAAUUUUUUAAAUCCAAACUUAAAACAAUAUUUACAUAUACUGGUAAUAUUAAUAUUUAAAUAUAUAUAUAUAUACAUAUAUAUUUCAAGGGUUCAUGGUUCCCUUGGUCUAAACAUCCUCCCUUGGGUUGCAUCACAUUACUUGGGUUGAAAUUUUUUUUCAAUUCAACCCAAGAUAUAAAAGAAGGAAAAAAAAAAAAAACUAGCCUAUUCCAACCCAUUAACUUACGAAAAGCCAACAUAAGGCAUUUAGUUGGGUUGGUAGGGCAAAUUCAAAUAGAUCCUUAAUUACAUUUUUUUUUUCUUCAAAUUAUCUAAUUUGAACAUAUAUUUAAAUAAGUAUAUAUAAAAAUAAUUUUGGUAAAAUUAGUAAACUAGUGCUUAUAAAUAAGUUAUUGAACCAAGUCCAAGACAUCUUAAAAAAAAAAAAAAAGCAUUAAAAUUGGACUAGCCAGUAGCCAGUUAGUCCAGCUAAAUAUUUUGAGCGACAAUCCAAUAGAUAUUGGACAUUUGGACUGCUUCUCUUUUUCUCUCUUCAAACGAUACGACUUGCAGUAUAGGAGUCUAUAGAGGCAACGGCAGCGGCGGUGAUAUCAUUGGGAGCAGUGUUCUCUUUGGGUUUUUCCGGCCGGAGCUCGGAUACGGAGUCGGUAAGAAAAUUAAAUUUGAUGUAGUUUCAUUGAAUCUCAUUUUAUUCAAUCAAUACUUUGUUGCUUCUGCAUAAUGUUAAACCUCUCGUGUAAGAAUGCUCUAAAAUUCGUUGAUUUUCGUGUUUUUUAGACCAAAUUCUUUUCUGGGUAUCAAUAAAAUUCACUGAAAGUUGGGGACUUGUUGAUUUCUCCAUUGUUAUAUUUUGCUUAUGUAUUUGUUUGAGACUUAGAAGGGUAUUGGCAAAUUUAAUGUUCAUGAUCAAUUGUCUAGAAUUCUUACAUAUACUAACAUUGUUUGCCAAUAUGUUUCAAAAGUGUUUAUUUUUAGGAUUUGAUUCUAAAAAUAAAAAUAUAUAAAAAUUGCUGAAGAAUUCCCUAUUCACAGUUCAAACGUCUUCUCUAGCAAUUUCACCUCAAAAACCAUAACCCAAUUUUGCAAUGUGGCUUAGGCAUAAUCCAAAGUUGCCAAGAGUUUCCAUGUGUGUGUCUCGUUAAAUGUUUGUCUAUGUGACUAUGUGAGUUUCUCUCUCUCUCUCUCUUAGACUUGAUUUGAGUAUGCGUGAAGGUGUUUGAUAAAAAUUUCAGUGAUAAUGCAAUGAUUCUCAUCUGACUAUGAAGUUUGAAGUAUUUUUUGUGUUUAGAAUUAUAAUAGCUUUAGUGAUGAUGUUCUUUCACCAUAAACGGGUAAAUUCUAAACACAAGGAGCUAUCAGGUCAUGCUUAGCUCUAGAUUGGCUCUGGCUUCGAGAGUAAUUUGAACCAUUGACUUGAGCCAUUGAUGAUAGAAGAUUGUUAUUGAGAUGUGUGAUUGUGUCUAUAGGUUGAGAUGGUAGCUUUCUUAAAAGAGAGAGACCCAUAACUACAUUGUUCAAAUCUUGAAAUUUUUUAAUUUUCAAAUCUUUAAUUUUAAGUUUCUGAACAAGCUCAUUUUCCACAUCCUUUUAGGUGGCUCGUUUUUCUUCAUAUAG